GACGAACGCUGGCGGCGUGCUUAACACAUGCAAGUCGAACGGAAAGGCCCUGCUUUUGUGGGGUGCUCGAGUGGCGAACGGGUGAGUAACACGUGAGUAACCUGCCCUUGACUUUGGGAUAACUUCAGGAAACUGGGGCUAAUACCGGAUAGGAGCUCCUGCUGCAUGGUGGGGGUUGGAAAGUUUCGGCGGUUGGGGAUGGACUCGCGGCUUAUCAGCUUGUUGGUGGGGUAGUGGCUUACCAAGGCUUUGACGGGUAGCCGGCCUGAGAGGGUGACCGGCCACAUUGGGACUGAGAUACGGCCCAGACUCCUACGGGAGGCAGCAGUGGGGAAUAUUGCACAAUGGGCGGAAGCCUGAUGCAGCAACGCCGCGUGCGGGAUGACGGCCUUCGGGUUGUAAACCGCUUUCGCCUGUGACGAAGCGUGAGUGACGGUAAUGGGUAAAGAAGCACCGGCUAACUACGUGCCAGCAGCCGCGGUGAUACGUAGGGUGCGAGCGUUGUCCGGAUUUAUUGGGCGUAAAGGGCUCGUAGGUGGUUGAUCGCGUCGGAAGUGUAAUCUUGGGGCUUAACCCUGAGCGUGCUUUCGAUACGGGUUGACUUGAGGAAGGUAGGGGAGAAUGGAAUUCCUGGUGGAGCGGUGGAAUGCGCAGAUAUCAGGAGGAACACCAGUGGCGAAGGCGGUUCUCUGGGCCUUUCCUGACGCUGAGGAGCGAAAGCGUGGGGAGCGAACAGGCUUAGAUACCCUGGUAGUCCACGCUGUAAACGGUGGGUACUAGGUGUGGGGUCCAUUCCACGGGUUCCGUGCCGUAGCUAACGCUUUAAGUACCCCGCCUGGGGAGUACGGCCGCAAGGCUAAAACUCAAAGGAAUUGACGGGGCCCUGCACAAGCGGCGGAGCAUGCGGAUUAAUUCGAUGCAACGCGUAGAACCUUACCUGGGUUUGACAUGGAUCGGGAGUGCUCAGAGAUGGGUGUGCCUCUUUUGGGGUCGGUUCACAGGUGGUGCAUGCCUGUCGUCAGCUCGUGUCGUGAGAUGUUGGGUUAAGUCCCGCAACGAGCGCAACCCUUGUUCACUGUUGCCAGCACGUUAUGGUGGGGACUCAGUGGAGACCGCCGGGGUCAACUCGGAGGAAGGUGGGGAUGACGUCAAGUCAUCAUGCCCCUUAUGUCCAGGGCUUCACGCAUGCUACAAUGGCUGGUACAGAGAGUGGCGAGCCUGUGAGGGUGAGCGAAUCUCGGAAAGCCGGUCUCAGUUCGGAUUGGGGUCUGCAACUCGACCUCAUGAAGUCGGAGUCGCUAGUAGUCGCAGAUCAGCAACGCUGCGGUGAAUACGUUCCCGGGGCU
rnacentral:rRNA from 1 species